GCCCGUGCCGCUCGCCCGCCGCCUCAGAGCUGCCGCUCCGCCGGUGGAGCCGCCGCCAGUCCCCGUCCCGCUGCGGGUCCCGCUGCCGCCCGGGCCCGCCGCAUGCCGCCCGCCGCUGCUCCGGCUCCCUGCUCCGGCUACCUCUUUCGGCUCCUCUGUGCUUUUUCCGCUGCAAAUCGUCCGGGCGCUUCGCCGCCGCGCGGUACCGGCGGGGACCCCCCGACGGUGGGGAUGUGUUUGACGCUCCGCUGCGCACCGGGCUCCCGGCGAGCGGCCGCGGCCUUUUCCCAGCGCCGCGGGACGGGGGUGGCGGAGCGGUGCCGUGGGACUGCCGGUUGUUUAAAUCCCCUUUUCCGGGGUUUUUUGGGGCGGUCGGUGCGUGGCCCGGAGGGCAGAGCUCCCUGGGUGUCCCCGCAGCCGAUCCCCGGUGCCCCGGGCCGUGCGCUCCCGCGGCCCCGAGCGCGGCGCUCCGGCCCCGCUCUCUCCAACGGGCGAAAUCGGGGAAUCGCUGGGAAAAAGGGACACGAGACCCUCCGCGUGCCCUCCCCGACUCUCUCCCUCCUCUCUUCCCGCAGCCUUCCCGCAGCCGGCUCCAUCCCGAGCACCGGGAAGCGCCCGGGAGGUCCCGGCCGGAGGAGGAUGCGGCACCUCGGGCCCCUCCUGCGGAGCACCUUCCUCGGAAGAUCCCAACCUCAGUGCGUGACUGAGGCUGGGAAGGGAUUUGUGGGAUGCUCGGAGUUUUGGAGGUAGGAAUGGGAACAAGAACCCCUUUUUUCUGCUCCCUGCCUUCAGCUCCAAAGAUUCCUGCAAAAGAAGCCCCCAAGGACGGGAGGAAUUACAGACUUUGGUUUUCUCCCCUGCUCGCUGCUGCCUUCCAGGGCUCCCCAGCCCUGCCUGAGGCAGGGAGUUGCAUUUCCCAGCCCACAGGUUUGAAUUCCUCUUUGUGCAGCACAGGUAGAAGGGGAAGGUGACUUUGGGUGGCUGUUUCCUCUUGUUCCAGAGAUGAUCUCGGGGAUGAGGCCGUGCCUGGCAGCGGGGCAGGGAACGUGUCCUGCUGCACGUCCCUGAUCCCGCACCAACCAUUCCGUGUUCCCGGUCACUCCUCGGGAGAAGGAGCACAAUUCCCUGGCCUCACACAGCAAAGGAGGGAGCUGGAGCACCUGGAGGUGCUCAGGAGCUCCUGUUUCCUGAGAAGUUCACUCAGCCAUGAAAUGGAAUGAGAUAAUGCUCAGGGAACAAGUGGGUUCAAGUGGGGCCGUUUGUCCUGCGGGGUCUCGUGGCCGGGCUUUUGUAAGACAAAGGAUGGGGAUGUUUGCCCAGGGAUGGGCACAGGCUGCAGCUGCAGGGCAGGAUCCCACAGGCUGUGUCAUCCUGGCCUGGCACAGCGGGCCCUGACAUCAGCAUUCCCAGGAAAAGGGUGCAGAUUUGGGAGGGAACAACCCCAGUUCCUGUGGAGCCUUUGGGAGUGCACCCAGUUCAGAGAGGAUUUGGGGGAACGGAUCCAGCUCUUCCUGACAGAGUGGGCACGGCAGAGGUUGAUAUUUGGAAUAUUGCUUCAUUUUCUGACGUGGCCUCCGAGAAAGUUCCUGGCCAGCUCAGCCAGUGUUUCUGGGAAUUGGGCAGUAAAUCCAAGGUCUGUGUGCCUGGCUCCAUCACAUUCCCAUUUGGGAAUUCUCAGCACCCCUGUGGGAUGGAGGCUGCUCCACCUCCCACCCCAGCUCCUCAGUUCUGUACUCCUUCCUCCUGCAGGAAUAAGAGCGUGUGUGCAUUGGCUCCAGAGCAGGCAGAGCCCUGCUCGUGCCAGGAAGGAAAAAUUUCCUUUCCAGUGGCAGCCAGGGAAGGCAUUUUUAGAGGAUGAGAGCACAUGGAAUCUCUGGAUGUGCUCUGGGAUGCAGGAUCAAAACCCACCCGUGUAUGAAUUGCACGUUAAAUGUCAGGUGAGGUGUUGGAUCUCUUCUUUCCUCCUGCACAGCACAGCCUGGAUGGCACUUUUCAAAAUAAUGGGGAUUAUUGUGAUUAAUUAUGAUUAUUGUGAUUAUUCAUUAAGGGAUGCAUUAAGGAUCCCUCUUCUGAACCAGCCCCUCAUUAACCUGCACAAGUACACAACAAAAAAAGAUGAUUCUUCCUCUAAAAAUCCUUUCCAGCCUUAAUCCUGGAGUUAAAGAUCAGAUUUCCACAGGGAAAACUGGGGAUUUUAAAGGGGAAAAUUAUUACUGCUGGGAAAAAAAUGUCUUGGCUCCCGAAUUCUCUGUGAGGUGCCCGCGUCCCCUUCAGCAGGCACAGCUGAGUGCUCGGUGUGUGCCUGCAUUAUCCACAGCUGCACGUCUGCUCUCUUCACAGGAGCCCCCCGUGCUCAUGCUGCCUCCCAAGCUCCCGAUUUCAGCUUUCUCUGCUCCCUUUCAACCCAAAUCCUGGCAGCCAGAGGGGAGAAAGGCCAGAGCUGAAUGAACACAGAGCGAUUUCGGGUGCCAGGGCCAGCCAGCGGGGUUGGGGUGCUGCUGGGGACAGCUGCUGGCUGCUGUGACAGUAAAGGCUUGUUCCCCUGGCACUCCUGCAGCUGGUUUGGAACACAGCAAAAUAGGGGACGUGGCGUUGGGGGCGGCUGGGUGAAUGAAGAUGAGCAUCAAUGAUGGCCCUGCCCGCCUGGCAUUCAUGAAUCGUCUUCCCCUGGAGGCCUGGAAGGCUCCAAAGCUCGCUCUGAAGUACCUCCUCUGAGUUAUUUUUGCUCGGGGUUUUUGCACUGUUUUCUUUCUUCAAGUUGCUGGGUGAAAAUAAAAGAAGAAAUCGAGAAGUGAGCAGAAAAGGCAGCACAGGUGAUGGUCCCCACAAAGGGAUUCGUGGAGUCACGGAAUAUCUGAGCUGGGAGGGACACACAAAGAUCCUCGAGUCACAUUUGGGACAGAAAUGAUGUCAUUUGGUGUCCUAAUCAACUGGUUUAUCACAUGUUUUUCUUUCUAGCCUGAAUCAUCUUCCAGGAAAGCCAGGAAAGGCUUCCACUGCCUGUUAUGUGAAUUGAGUCCUUUUUAGUUUCACACAUUUCUGCUGGUUUAGGCUUAAAAUUUACAGCUUGUGCUGGUGGAAAGUGCUCCUGGCCCACGACGUGGCACCUCUCAGUGACCCUCGGCAAUGAAAAGCGACCCAGCUCAGCAUUCCCCUCCCAGCCCCAGUUAUUCCUCCCUUUUUGUAAGCUUUAGCCUAAACCCUCCACUUUCCCGCAGUAAUUUCCUCAAUUAUCCAGUUUGUUUUACAGACACCCCCUUUUAAUGUGGAAUUUGCUGUAAAAGACCCCACAAAGGAAACCAUUAGGUCCCAUCUAUUUCAAUUUUCCUCUCCAAACCUCGUGGUGGCCGAUGCAGAGCUGCAGUAUUCCAGUGGCCUUUAACAAACAGCUGAUUUUUCCUUCCCUAUACAAUGCACCAUUAUGUGGCAUUUUUUCUAUUUUUUUUUUUCCUACGGAGAACAAUGCGAGCAGCAGUGAUGGGAAACUGGAAAAACAAAAGGGGCAUUUAGAAGGGACUGGUUUAGAGGCUGGGAAGUGUUGAAUAAUGUUACACCUGAUAGCAGAUGCUUUCUCAGCGACCAGCACCGAGGUGUUUACUAAGGGGAUACUCAAUGUAUGUUUACGCUCAAAAAUGCUAUUUAUGAACUCCACACAGCCAGAUGUUUUGAUGGCUGUAAAUUAUUUAAAGUAAAAAUCAUGGUGGCAUCACUAGCAGUGAAUUUAGAGGGGAUUUUAGGAUGAAAUCCUUCCCUGUGAGGGUGGAAGGGGCUGGGAUGGAAUUCCCAGAAAAGCUGUGGCUGCCCCUGGGUGUCCAAGGCCAGCUUGCAUGGGGCUUGGAGCAACCUGGGACAGUGGAAGGUGCCUAAAAUUGGAACUGGAUGAGCUUUAAGGUCCUUCCCAACCCAAACCAUGCCGUGAUUCUAUGAGGAAAACCUGAGGAAUUGAACUUAAAUGAACUUAAAUUCCCCAGUGCAGGCAGGGUCACCUGGAGCAGGUGACACAGGAACAUGUCCAGGUGGGUUUGGGAUGUCUCCAGAGAGGGAGAUCCCCACCCUCCCUGUUCCACGGCCCUGCCACCUCCAUGCAAACCAGUUUUUCUGUAAAUUUAGGUGGAAUUUGUUGUGUUAAUCUGUCCUGAGCUCAGCUGAUCCAAGCACGGUGCUGACAACUCCAGGGCUGUGGAUUCAAUGGUAUCUCUCCUCAUCCUGUCACUGAGCACCACCGAACAGAGCCCGGCAUCAUCCCCUAAAACCCCUUGGAAAUAUCCGGAUCCACCGGAUCGCCUCUUGCCUUCCCUCCUCCAGCCGGCCCCGGCUCCCACAGCCCCAUCAGAGAUGCUCCAGCCCUCUCACACCUCCACAACCACGC